UCCAGACUCCUACGGGAGGCAGCAGUGAGGAAUAUUGGUCAAUGGCCGAGAGGCUGAACCAGCCAAGUCGCGUGAGGGAUGACGGCCCUACGGGUUGUAAACCUCUUUUGCCGGGGAGCAAAGAGCGGGACGCGUCCCGCCUCGAGAGUACCCGGAGAAAAAGCAUCGGCUAACUCCGUGCCAGCAGCCGCGGUAAUACGGAGGAUGCGAGCGUUAUCCGGAUUUAUUGGGUUUAAAGGGUGCGCAGGCGGAAGCGCAAGUCGGCGGUAAAAUUGCGGGGCUCAACCUCGUCGAGCCGUUGAAACUGGGUGCCUUGAGUGGGCGAGAAGUACGCGGAAUGCGUGGUGUAGCGGUGAAAUGCAUAGAUAUCACGCAGAACUCCGAUUGCGAAGGCAGCAUACCGGCGCCCGACUGACGCUGAAGCACGAAAGCGUGGGUAUCGAACAGGAUUAGAUACCCUAGUA
rnacentral:rRNA from 1 species